rnacentral:lncRNA from 10 species
CUGAAUUACAUCACCACAAUCUAAUUUUAGAACAUUUUCAAUGCCCCCCAAAGAAACUCUCUGCAGGCCUGGGCAACAUAGUGAGACCCUGCCUCUAGAAAAAUUUUUUUGAUUAGCUGGGUGUGGUGGCACUCACCUGGGAGGCUGAGGUGGGAGGAUCCCAGGAGUUAGAGGCUGCAGUGAGCCAUGAUCAUGCCACUACACUUCAGCCUGGGCAACAGAGCAAGACCCUGUCUCUAUUGAAAAAAGUGGUGGGAAGUGGGGGAGAAACCCUGUGCUACAGCAGUCUUCCUGAUUCCUGCUUACCCAUCUCCUACUCCAUCCCCAGACAAUCUCUCUAUGGAUUGGCCUAUUCUGACAUUUCACAUCAGUCAUCUGUUGCUUAAUGACAGACACACAUUUGGAGAAAUGUGUCAUUAGGCAAUUUUCUUCAUGUGUACACAUCAAAGAGUGUCCUUACACAAACCUAAAUGGGACAACCUACUGCAGACCUAGGCUGUAUGACAGAACCUAUUGCUCCUCGGCUACAAACCUGUACAGCAUGCAACUCUACUCAACACUGUAAGAAACUGUAACACAGUGGUGAUUGUCUUAAUGUGGGUUUCCCCAGAAGUGGCCCUGAGGAAGGACUUGAGUGCAAGUAGCUUCCUGAGAAGUGGCGAGUGGAAAAAUGCAGCAGGGAAGUGGAGAAGAGAGAAGCGGAAGGGAAGACAGUUGCUAAAGCUGCAUUAUCACAAAAGCCACCCCUGUGGAAAACUGGAGCUCGGUUCCACUGGGGAACUCAUGGAGCCAGGGUGAUUCUGAUGAACAGCAGCCUUGGAAACGACUGCCUUAGGGGACUUGCUG